GGAAGGUUCCAGAACAAUCAGGAAAUUUCUGGAAACAAUUAAGGCAGACUGGCCGAUUAGAACACCUGCAGCCAAUCAAGAAGCUGCCGGAAUCAAUUAAGACAGGCAGGCUAAUCAGGGCACCUGGGUUUAAAAAGGCUCUCACUUCAGUUUGUGGCACACAUGCAAGGAGCUGGGAGCAAGAGGCAUAAGAAGCUGAGAGUGAGAAGGCGUACUACUGGAAGACUGAGAAGUACAAGCAUUAUCAGACAUCAGGAGGAAGGUCCUCUGGCCAUGGCACAGGGACCAAGCAAAAGGAACAGCCCUAGAUCCCUUGAAAAGAUGGAGAUGCACCCCUCUACCCUUAGGCAACCUGGAUCUUCCUUGCAGACAUACUCCCCACCCUGGCAAGGUGCCAUCUGCAGGAGUCGUUGGAGUUCCUCACAAUGGGGUGUGGUCUCAUGCUUUCUGAGACAGCCAUGGUGAUAUAAUCUCAAGUCACUGGAACCAACCUCAUAAAAAGAUGUAGCCUUCAGGAACACCCCAUGCACCCCGGCCGAGCGUCUCCACCAGAUAAGAAAGCGCCCAAGAUGCAGCAAAGAAGAUAUGUUCCAGGAGGUCCUGCAGUGCUGCAAUGCAGAAAAAAGGUUGUGAAAGGAGUGCUGGGAAGCCGAACGGCAGGACAGAAAAGAGAAUCACGCAUUUGUUAAGGAUGCUACUAAGUGGAUGCUUAAAGUCAUGGAGGAGCAAACGCAGAUGCUGAAGUCCUUAAUAAUGCUGCAGACUGAGGAGAUCAGUGCUCGACCUCCACUGCAGCACAUUCAGAACUCUUUUCCAUGCCCCCUUGUAGGGGGAGAAUUUCCAUAUUUCUGUUUUUGUUGUUAAUAUCCAUACACCAUUUUGAAUUCCUGACAACAACAACAACUAGGAAUCCAUCUUUGCUGCCUUUCUUCCUCCUCCUUAGAGAUAGUUUCCCGCCCUUUUUUGCCAAAAGGCGGGAAACCGGGCAACCAUGUGACAUGCAAUCUGUCCAGUAACAGUAGGGCAUAUAAGGGCUAGCAUGUCUGAGGGAGGGUGCUGCCCGUCUAAGUGGCAGAGUGCUGUACUCAGGUGUGUAUGCCAGAGCACCGUGCCUUAGGGUUGUGGGAGGGUUUAACAUACUUGCAUGCAGAAGAUCUCAUCCAGAUCUUACUUGCACCCAUGACGCUGCAGGGAAGAAGGAAGAAAAAUCACAGUUACCACUUAUCAGUUGCCUGGGGUCCACUUCUCACCCUGCCGAGUCAUCUGGUCAGUUCCGGACCCGCUUUGUGCCAUGAGGUCAGGAUGCUCCAGAUAAGCUGUAAGAAAUGGUAGAGACCUUUUAAGUCCUUCAUAUCCCUUACCUGACAUCCGUCUUGGGGAGGGAGUAAACCCUUUUGGACACAGUCAGUAUAGUUAUAAUGUCACCUUUACCAGUUUGUUUUACUUACCUGUUUUGGGAGUCCCUUAAAGUAUACCCAGUUUUCUUACCUUGUUGAACUGUUGUUAGUCUAAUAAACAUACCUGAGUUUUAC